rnacentral:lncRNA from 1 species
UGUGAGAUAGAGGAGAGCCGGCUCCUCUUGGGUGAGUGACCUAGAUUCUGAUAUAGGAUUUUGGAUGAGUAAAAAAAUAAAAAGAGAAGAAAGGUUCUCCUCCUACCUUCCACCACUACUUCCUCCUCCUAUUUCAUUUUCGGUUUUGGAAGAGUCUGUGAGAUCCGAAGAAAUGUGUAAAUAAGCUAUCAACAAGGUCUCUGCAUGAAUUAGCACUUUGAAGAGAUCGACCAGACCAAGGCUUCAUGUGGACAUUUCGUAGAGGCCGGACACCCUGUGCGGUUGCUGUGCAACUUGAAGAACCUUAUAUCUCUGGUUGUCGGUUGCGGUGAUCUUCUAUCCAUGCUCAGGUAUUGGAUUUUAGACUCAAUGAUAUUAUCGAUAUGAUCUACUGUCGUGUUGAUUUGAUCCAUACUUGCUGAUUUUAGAUUUCAGAUUUUAUAUAUGCAUUAUAUCAUGUCAUAGAUUCUAGCGUAAGUUAUUUUCAAAUCAAAUCAAAUGCAUGCAUGGUAGAUUAAAUCGUUUAAUCUAGUUUGCUUCUGCUAAAAUUUUAAAAAUGUAUGUAAGAAAUGUCUACUAUUUUCUUCAAUUGGUAUAAAGCAUAGGUUCAUUAUGACAUGAAUAUAUAUGUAUAUAGAUCUAAAUUUUGAUU